rnacentral:misc_RNA from 1 species
CGCUCUUUGUUAUGAAAACGCUUAAAUAGAGAGUCGGACCUGCCCAGUGACAUACGUGUUAAACGGCCGCGGUACUCUGACCGUGCAAAGGUAGCAUAAUCACUUGCCUUUUAAUUGGAGGCUUGUAUGAAUGGUUUGACGAGAGCUAAGCUGUCUCCUUUUUAAAUAUUUAAAAAUUAACUUAUAGGUGAAGAGGCCUAUAUAUAUUUGAGGGACAAGAAGACCCUGUUGAGUUUGAGUGUAGCCGGGGAUUAAGUUUAUCUAAUUUUAAUUAAAUUACGGUAAUAAAGUUAUAUAAAAUAAAGGCUAGGUUUUUGGUGAAUCUUUAGUUGGGGCGACUGAGGAAUACAAUAAGCUUCCUUUAAAUGUAUCAUGGCUGUCAAGUCAGUUUGAUCCAGUUUUUACUGAUUAAAGGAAAAAAUUACCACAGGGAUAACAGCGUAAUCUUUUUGGAGAGUUCUUAUCGAAGAAAGGGUUUGCGACCUCGAUGUUGGACUAAGGUAUCCCAAGGGUGUAGAAGCUUUUGAGGGUUGGUCUGUUCGACCAUUAAAACCUU